CCUAAUUGGAUCACACAGUAUUAUUUUACUAUUUUUCUUUUGUCCAUAUUGGGUAAAAUAUUCAGUAAAAAGUCUCAAUUUAAUUUUUAGCUAAUUUUGCAAUAUUACCAUAAUCUCUCCCUCUCUCUAUAUAUACACUUCAUUGGAGCUUAAAAGAAAAAACAAAAGAGAUGAAGUACUCAAUUUCCGCUCUCUAUUAAUUGGUUGAACACUGAAGUUCAGGUGAGAAUCAUUUGGAGUAGCCAAACAAGCCUCUGAAAUGUAUAUGAUAUUCAAGCGAUUGAUCAUCGGUGGAGAGAUUGUUGAAGAAGAAGGCGAGUGGGAAAAAGAAAGAUAAAGAAUUCAAAUAGAGUACGACUCUAGCUAAAUAUUCGUAGGAUUAUUCUUUUUUUUCAGAAGAUUUUGAAAGUAUCUAGAAGAUUCAGCAGCGAGAUUCCAGCUUACGGUAAAAUUCUCUCCAGAUUUGCAGUUUCUGUUAUACUUUAUUCGAUCCUGAAAUUAUUCAUGAGAUACUGAAUUAUUUCUCAAUUUUGAAUUUCCGAAACGGUUAUGUUCUCUCUGUGAGUGUGUAUAUAUAU
rnacentral:lncRNA from 1 species